UAGAGAGAAGACUGGAAGAUGAAGAACGAAGAGGUGCUGCCGGGAGAUGAAGAAAUAAGAGGUGCUGCCGGGAGAUGAAGAAAGAAGAGGUGCUGCCGGGAGAUGAAGAAAGAAGAGGUGCUGCCGGGAGAUGAAGAAAGAAGAGGUGCUGCCGGGUGAUGAAGAAAGAAGGUGCUGCCGGGAGAUGAAGAAAGAAGAGGUGCUGCCGGGAGAUGAAGAAAGAAGGUGCUGCUAAGAAGAUGAAGACAGAAGACUGGAAGACGAAGAAAGAAGAUGAAGACGAAGAAAGAAGAUGAAGACAGAAGACUGGAAGACGAAGAAAGAAGACGAAGACGAAGAA